ACCCGCUGAACUUAAGCAUAUCAAUAAGCGGAGGAAAAGAAACCAACAGGGAUUGCCUCAGUAACGGCGAGUGAAGCGGCAAGAGCUCAAAUUUGAAAUCUGGCGUCCCCGACGUCCGAGUUGUAAUUUGGAGAGGCAUCUUCUGGAGGGGCCCAGCCUAUGUUCCUUGGAACAGGACGUCAUAGAGGGUGAGAAUCCCGUUCUCGGCUGGAUGUCCCCACCUGCAUGUAGUGUCUUCUACGAGUCGAGUUGUUUGGGAAUGCAGCUCAAAAUGGGUGGUAAAUUUCAUCUAAAGCUAAAUAUUGGCGAGAGACCGAUAGCGCACAAGUAGAGUGAUCGAAAGAUGAAAAGCACUUUGAAAAUAGAGUCAAACAGUACGUGAAAUUGUUGAAAGGGAAGCGCUUGAGACCAGACUCGGCCUUGGACAAACAACCUACCUUCUGGUGGGUGCACUUGCCCUCGGCCGGGCCAGCAUCAGUUGGGACGACGGGAUAAAGGCUCGGGGAAUGUGGCUCCUCUCGGGGAGUGUUAUAGUCCUGGGUGCCAUGCCGCCAGUCCCGACUGAGGACCGCGCUUCGGCAAGGAUGCUGGCGUAAUGGUCUUCAGCGACCCGUCUUGAAACACGG
rnacentral:rRNA from 1 species